GAUCAUUGUUUUCCGUUAGGACACCCUGACCGACAGGCCACGAUCAAGCGUAAUGGAGAGAUGCAAGCAUUGGCACCUGCCCUCUCAAGCCGGAUUUUUCAAGCCCAGCAUGGUGCACCUCUAUUGUUGGCACAUCAGUGCCAACAGUAGAGGCAUUAGGAGAUGAGGACAGGCCAGUGCUAUAAUUCUUCCCAGUCCAUUAGCUGUAAUUAGGGUUCUGCGUUCUCAGAUAAACCUGAUAAACUCCAAAAAACACUAGCCGUUAAAAUUUUGCUGAUUCAGAUUCAUUUGAAAAACUCAAUUUUUCGGUCUGCCAGCUGUUAUAAGCCCCAUCAGUCUUUAUAUUUCCCGGAAUCUUCGAACAAUUUUUGCAAUUCUCCUCUUAUUGCAGUGUCAACUUCCGUUGCCAUGUAGCCCCUUAUAAUAAAAAUGAGGUAGGCCCUCUACGACAGUAGAUGAAUACGGCUCUCAUAUGAAAAUACUGCUUUACUAAAUUCACAAACUGCUGUUUUCUACCUUUCAUUUGCCUGAUCGAAAAUGCCGAAAGACUCCGAACUUUGCGUACAUAAAUGGAAGCUCCAAAUUGAUGGUUCAAAAAAACAAACAAAAAAAAAACACCCUCUAAUUUUGCUAAAAAAAUUAAAUUCAAGAACGCAGGAUCCUAGCUAUAAUUUGUGCAAGCUUUCAAGAUCGAGGAAAUCGGUGACCGUAUUGUCAUAUUCAUUGUGGGCACACCACAAUGAAGGCGGAUCAAGUGCUAUUUUGAAUAGCAUGUAGUUCUGCACCAGAGAUUCCAUCCCCAGUUCACAAGCUUAGCCCAUCGCAGCAGUUUUAGAAAAUUGAAGUAUUUUCGGAACCCAACCGACACUUUUCUGAAGACUGUAACACAAUGCCUUAUCCAUCUUUCUUUUCAUGUGCUGAUGAGCGGACAUGCUGUGGAGACUGCACCGAGGCGGGGCAGCCCGCCCGUGUUUCCAAUAAAUGGGGUUUUCAUCCAGGAGGUAGGCUGGUAAUGCAGCGAUAACAUAAGUGGGGUGGUUGCAUAUAACACUGGAAAUAUUAACAGAAGUUUUUUAUGGCAAUUUAAAAACAGUGCUGCAUUUUCCAGUCUACACCACGGUUUUCCCCCCGUCUGCAA